rnacentral:rRNA from 1 species
CUGUAGCCUGAUAUUGGAUUUCGGUUUUUCAUGUACAGGAUAGGUGGGAGGCGGAGAACCCAGGGCGUCAGCCUUGGGGGAGCCAACCUUGGGAUACCACCCUUGGAGUAUUGAGGUUCUAACAAAGAGCCGUGUAUCCGGUUCGUGGACAGUGUCAGGUGGGCAGUUUGACUGGGGCGGUCGCCUCCCAAAAGGUAACGGAGGCGCCCAAAGGUUCCCUCAACGCGGUUGGAAAUCGCGUGGCAGAGUGCAAAGGCAGAAGGGAGCUUGACAGUGAGACAUACAGGUCGAGCUGGGACGAAUUGGGCUGUUCGCCCAUUAAAGCGGUACGUGAGCUGGGUUCAGAACGUCGUGAGACAGUUCGGUCCCUAUCCGUCGCAGGCGCAGGAAACUUGAGAGGAGCUGUCCCUAGUACGAGAGGACCGGGAUGGACAGACCGCUGGUGUACCAGUUAUCGUGCCAACGGUAGCGCUGGGUAGCCAUGUCUGGUGCGGAUAAACGCUGAAAGCAUCUAAGCGUGAAACCCCCCUCAAGAUAAGGUUUCCCACCCAUGUGAGAAGUGAGAGGUGAGAGGUUGGAAGUGAGAAAAGAAGGUAUUCGGCAAAGCCGAAUACCAACCUUGAAAUCCCACCUCCGGCUUCCCACAUCUCACUUCUCAGUGGGGUAAGACCCCUGGUAGACUACCAGGUAGAUAGGCCGGGCGUGUAAGGCUGGCAACAGUUUGAGCGGACCGGUACUAAUUGGUCGAGGGCUUGACUAU